AUUGAACGCUGGCGGCAUGCUUUACACAUGCAAGUCGAACGAGUGGCGAACGGUUGCUUACUAUUUCGGAACUUACCGAGUAAUGGGGGAUAACCAAUCGAAAGAUUGGCUAAUACCGCAUAUUAUUCGAGCGGCCGAUAACUGAUUAGCUAGUUGGUGGGGUAAAGGCCUACCAAGGCGACGAUCAGUAGCGGGUCUGAGAGGACGAUCAGCCACACUGGGACUGAGACACGGCCCAGACUCCUACGGGAGGAAGCAGUGGGGAAUGUUGGACAAUGGGGGCAACCCUGAUCCAGCCGUGCCGCGUGUAUGAAGAAGGCAUGCGGGUGGUAAAGUACUUUUGUUAGGGAAGCGGUACCGAAAGAAUAAGCACCGGCGAACUACGUGACAGCAGCCGCGGUAAUUC
rnacentral:rRNA from 1 species